rnacentral:rRNA from 1 species
GACAGAGGGUGCAAACGUUGCUCGGAAUCACUGGGCGUAAAGGGCGUGUAGGCGGGAUGGUAAGUCGGGCGUGAAAUCCCCAAGCUCAACUUGGGAACUGCACUCGAAACUACCUUCCUUGAGUGUCGGAGAGGAAAGCGGAAUUCCUGGUGUAGAGGUGAAAUUCGUAGAUAUCAGGAGGAACACCAGUGGCGAAGGCGGCUUUCUGGACGAUAACUGACGCUGAGACGCGAAAGCGUGGGGAGCAAACAGGAUUAGAUACCCCAGUAGUCC